UAUCAGGGUCUCACAGAAUUUGAG
rnacentral:siRNA from 1 species